rnacentral:tRNA from 1 species
GCUGGGAUAGCUCAGUUGGUAGAGCAUAGGACUCUUAAAUCUUAGGGUUGUGGGUUCAAGCCCCACGUUGGGCA